AGUCUCCUCACAUGUAGCAGGGCUCUGCUGCAGAGACAGGCUGGAGCUUGCUCAUAUUUCAGUCCCUCAAGGAGUCCUGUGUAUGUUCAGCCUCUAAGGAUGGCAGAUCCAGCAUCAGACUAUUUCCCUCACUCCCGAGCCCAGCGAGAUGGGUUUGACUAUCCCAGGAAGGAUUUGCCUUAUCCAGUUUAUCCAGAGGCGAGACAGUACCGGAGAUACUAAGAACAAGUGCUUCCUAUAUCAGAAAUGUCUUGGAAAGCUGCAUAAUUACUGGGCAAUCCAGGUGCUGAGAGAGCAGCGAGACCCUGGUGGGACACAGAGGAAAUUGCCAUUCUUAUUAGAUAGCACUAAGUUAUUGCAAAGAAAAGGUAUAGAGGAUAAUUGUAAAAGAAAACCUGAUAUAACAUGACAUUAACAUCUGAUUUAUUUGCUAUGUAAUUGGUGACGGCUUCCUGUGAAUCCCUGAUACUGGAGUGCACAAGGGUCUGGCCCUGGUAGUGUGGUACAAACACAGCCAAGGAUUUGGCUUCCCUCUGUCUCAAGAUUUAGCAAAUAUUUACAGGCCCAUUCCCUGUCCCUUGUCUUUUUUGCUUUGUCUUCUUUCUGUGCUGAUCCCAACAGCUGGAACGGUUUGCCUUUAGUACUGCCCUGGCUUGCUUUGUAACUUUUUUGUAAAUGAGGACAAUAAAUGAAGCUAUGGAAGAUUGACCACCUUGCCACUAAGUAACAAAUUAAAGACACUGAAGGCUGGGAUUUAUUUCCCAUUUUCCAAAAAGUCUGAAGCACAUUAUAUUGCGAUUUAUAUAAAAUGAUUUUCAUUAGUAUUAGGUAAUAUGUGAAACUAUAUGACAAAACUAGAAUAUUAAGGAUUUUAGAAAGGAUUUUUUGAUGCUUGUUUUCCCCUCAGUGUAACAAAAACUUCAAAGUGGCCAAAUUUCACUGGGUUUACUUCUACUGCUGCAAACUCUGUCAGAAAUAAAAGUGAGACUCGUUCCCUCUCUUAUCUUCAGAAACACACAGAAAUGGUGUUAGCACAUUUAUUUAGAUUCCAGACUAUCAGUUUAAACCAUUCUGACCUCAGAAAUUCAGAUCCAAAGGUGUCAGAAAACUGUGUCAGUGAAUUGCUUUUUCUGUCACUUCUCAGCCUCGGGUAGUGCCACAAUCUGACAAACAGUGGUGGUUGUUGACCUCAGUCCGGCUCUGUUGUACCAGCCUCAGAGUGACCACAGAAUCUGAGUGUUCAGUUUGAUAUUCCACCACUCCUCUGAAAAGGAGUAGGAGGCACAGAUAAGGCAAUGCUGUCAAUAUCCAUGGUGCUGGCAAGAGCAGAGCUGGCUAAACUGAGUCUCUCUCACUCUUUGCCCAAGUGUUCAGUUUUGUCGUUACCUUUUUCUGGUAUUUUUCCCUUCAUUCCUUACUUGUGUUGGGCAGUUUGAAAUUAUUUUGUCAUAAGAAUGUCUGUCUCUUGCUAGAGCUAGACUAAACGACUGGAAUGUUUUUCUUACUGAAUUUACUUUGGGGUGUGCUGUGUUAUGUGGCUUUACCAUUUAAAACAAAAAAUAAAGGGGAGGAGGGUCAAAUAUAAGUCUCCAAAUUCUCUGCUAAGGAGAUGAAAGUCCAGGAGGAUUAAUCUUUUGAGAAUUACAGAAGCUCCAUGGCUCUCUUGUCCUGAGGAGCCCAGAACUGGACACAGCACUCCAGCUGUUGUCAGUAGGGUCACCUUGGGAUGCCCCAUCUCAGGUUGUCCACCCUGGGUUGCCCAC
rnacentral:lncRNA from 13 species